AGCAAACAAAGCCGAGGCCGGGGGGAAGGCCACACAGUCCAGUAAGUGGUGCCAUUGAGCUGGGGACAGAGCAAGCAGGGCAGGCAGGCUCCUCCUCUUCGCAGGCUUCUAUUCCAGGGGAGACACCAGAUAACGCACAUGGGAUCCGUUGAGAGGAACCGUGACAGCGUGAGGCGUCACAACAUGGAUUUCUGCGAUCCCUGGCACUUUGGAAAUAGUCUCCGUGUGGCUUGCAUUCAUCCAGCAAGCUGCUUUUGACAAUGUCGAUAUGCGCACACAUACGUUUCUGCGUGAAAAUAGAUCUUAGCGAGAUGCUGCACGAUGGUUUGUAACGAGCUUUGUUUCCUUCACGUGGACUAGAAUGCCAUGUACCAUCCGAACAUAAUUUAUUUCGGCGAUUCCUUUUUGUUGGGUAUUUGUCUGAUGAUUUCUUGAGGGUAAAUCCCUAGAGCUGGAGUUCCUGGGGCCAAAGCACCACAUGACUUCUGAUGUGGGUGACGAAGCUGCCCUCCAGAGGGACCCAGCGUGUGAGCGCGCCUGGAGCCCCACGCUCUCAGCAGCCCUGGUGGGUGACCGUCCCAGCCCCUGCCCACCUCCCGGGGUUUUAAAAAGCAUACCUAGGUAUAAGGGCAUCAUUAAAUAUUUGUAAUAUAUUUAUUAGAUAUGUUUUCAAUUUUAGGGGCAUGUGUAGUCAUACCUUUUAAUUUGUGUGUGUGUGCUGGCUGCGAGCGGAGGGCUGGGAGGAGGAAGCUGGGAAGCCUGCUGAUUGGCCCAGACCAGAGUUCCGGCCCCUGUGGGAGAGCCACGCCCAGGAGAGCACUGUCACUCAAACCCAGUGUACACACACGUGUAUAUAUAACUGGGAAGUGAACCUUCACCGGCAAUAUUUACCUUCACUCUGAUUUAGUCCAACAUUUUUUGUUUACAUGUUUAAAUGCUGUUCCUACCACAGUUAAAUCGAUUGCAUAAUCCUGUGAUGGACCGGCUGCUAUCGUUUGAAAAAUCACUGGCUUAAAAGAAUCAACUGCCUGGAACAUAUCGGCACUGAACCAAAUCAGGGUCUGGUUAGCACCGAAGAAGAGGGAGGUAGAUAUCAGAAACACCCAAACUGGGACCAGCGUCAGACCUAAAAGGAAGGCCAGGCUGUGGCCAGGUGCAGCCGGGAGAGGAGGCAGGGAAGCAGAACAGUGUCUGGGCGCCCCGCUCCGCUGGCCUGUGCGCAGGGAGUCGGGCUGGGAGAGCGUUCGAGCCCCCCCUAGCGCAGAGGACCCUGACUACCAGGCUGCAGCAGAGACCCUUCACGGAGGGGCUCAUCUCGGGCUGCUGUGACAAAUUACCAGACACUGGAUGGCUUAAACGACAAACAUUUAUCUCCCAGUCCUGGGACCUGGAAGACCGUGGUCAGGGUGC